rnacentral:rRNA from 1 species
CCUACGGGGUGCAGCAGUGAGGAAUAUUGGUCAAUGGGCGCGAGCCUGAACCAGCCAAGUCGCGUGAGGGAUGAAGGUUCUAUGUAUCGUAAACCUCUUUUAUAAGGGAGUAAAGUGUGGGACGUGUCCUAUUUUGUAUGUACCUUAUGAAUAAGGAUCGGCUAACUCCGUGCCAGCAGCCGCGGUAAUACGGAGGAUCCGAGCGUUAUCCGGAUUUCUUGGGUUUAAAGGGUGCGUAGGCGGCCUUUGAAGUCGGCGGUGAAAGUCUGUGGCUCAACCAUAGAAUUGCCGGUGAAACUGGGGGGCUUGAGUAUGUUUGAGGCAGGCGGAAUGCGUGGUGUAGCGGUGAAAUGCUUAGAUAUCACGCAGAACACCGAUUGCGAAGGCAGCCUGCCAAGCCAUGACUGACGCUGAUGCACGAAAGCGUGGGGAUCAAACAGGAUUAGAUACCCGAGUAGUC